rnacentral:sRNA from 1 species
UGGCUUUGUGACACUGGUUUGUAUGGUUGUGGCGGACAAAUUCGUUUGCGGAUUGAACCAUUUUAUAUAUUAUAGUCCGUAAGAGUAUGGAUUGAGACAAAUAGAAGAAAUCCGUCGUGGACCAAUUUAUAUAAAAUAAACUUGAUUUGGGGUGGAUUGUUGUAUGUCCCAAAAAUAGA